rnacentral:rRNA from 1 species
GGGUAUGAUCAUACCAGCGUUAAUGCACCGGAUCCCAUCAGAACUCCGCAGUUAAGCACGCUUGGGCUAGAGUAGUACUGGGAUGGGUGACCUCCCUGGAAGUCCUAGUGUUGCACCCU